AUAAUACUCCCUCCAUCCAGAAUUACUUGUCAUCAAAAUGGAUGUGUCUAGAACUAAAAUACAUCUAGAUACAUCCAUUUCAAUGACAAGUAUUUUUGGACGGAGAGAGUAGUAG
rnacentral:pre_miRNA from 1 species